CCUACGGGAGGCAGCAGUGAGGAAUAUUGGUCAAUGGGAGAGAUCCUGAACCAGCCAAGCCGCGUGAGGGAAGACGGCCCUAUGGGUUGUAAACCUCUUUUGUCGGAGAACAAAACCCGGGACGAGUCCCGGACUGCGUGUAUCCGAAGAAAAAGCAUCGGCUAACUCCGUGCCAGCAGCCGCGGUAAUACGGAGGAUGCGAGCGUUAUCCGGAUUUAUUGGGUUUAAAGGGUGCGUCGGCGGUCUGUUAAGUCAGCGGUAAAAUUGCGGGGCUCAACCCCGUCGAGCCGUUGAAACUGGCAGACUGGAGUGGGCGAGAAGUAAGCGGAAUGCGCGGUGUAGCGGUGAAAUGCAUAGAUAUCGCGCAGAACUCCGAUUGCGAAGGCAGCGUACCGGCGCCAGACUGACGCUGAGGCACGAAAGCGUGGGGAUCGAACAGGAUUAGAUACCCGAGUAGUC
rnacentral:rRNA from 1 species